UCUGUGGUCUUCCGCAAGGAGCAGUAAUUCCGCUUGCAAAAACAAACAAGCAGAAAGCGCUUGGACCAUUGAUAAAGCGAGCGCAGCUCUGAGGGCAUCCAUGCUGUCGGCUAGUGUAAACACAGGUCGCACACGUGAUGUCAGCAUUUUUUUGUCGUGGAAAGUGACGUUGCGGACCUUAAAACUCCGGUUUUGUCUGUCCACACGCAGACACCCAAAACGGAGAAAACGCAGAUCUUCACUUUGGCCGGAGUUUUUAAAAAGAUCCGUUUUCGUGUGAAAAAACUCCGUUUUCGUGGAUCCCCGGCUACGUGUGGACAGGGCCUCAGUUUCUGCGUCAAACUGCAGGAUGGCACUUUUAGGUCAGUAACGGCAGUCUACACACGCUACGUUGUAGCUACUCCUGGCCCGGGAUCAUAAGCGGUUCACAGCCGUGAAGAACGAGGAAGACGUGAUGAAUAGUCUACGGCUGCAGGUGCGGAUCUGCAGCUACGGCUGCAGGUGCGGAUCUGCUGCUACGGCUGCAGGUGCGGAUCUGCAGCUACGGCUGCAGGUGCGGGUCUGCAGCCGUGCCCUUCUUAGCGUGACAGCGGGACAUCCCGAAGGUCCGCUCACCUGUUCACCGCUCAGAAGUCCUGAUCUUCUGCCUUCCUAGAUCAUCCAGCUGUAACCUGUUUCUGAUCAUGUCUUUAGCCCCGCUGUAACACUGAUGCAUCAGUCUCACACGUCAUGGAGCUCAGGUGUUAUUAGAACUACCUGUGUGUGUUUACCACCCAGCUUCAGCUCUUCUGUGGUUGGGUCUGACCCACGUUAGUAAAUCAGGAGAACCGAACAGAGACGACGGCCGUCUCUCAGCAUGGGAACCAGCCGAUCUCGCCAGAAGAAAAAACGCCAUCUAGAAAACCGCAGG